GACGAACGCUGGCGGCGUGCUUAACACAUGCAAGUCGAACGGAAAGGCCCUGCUUUUGUGGGGUGCUCGAGUGGCGAACGGGUGAGUAACACGUGAGUAACCUGCCCUUGACUUUGGGAUAACUUCAGGAAACUGGGGCUAAUACCGGAUAGGAGCUCCUGCGGCAUGGUGGGGGUGGGAAAGUUUCGGCGGUUGGGGAUGGACUCGCGGCGUAUCAUCUUGUUGGUGGGGUAGUGGCUUACCAAGGCUUUGACGGGUAGCCGGCCUGAGAGGGUGACCGGCAACAUUGGGACGGAGAUACGGCCCAGACUCCUACGGGAGGAAGCAGUGGGGAAUAUUGAACAAUGGGCGGAAGCCUGAUGCAGCAACGCCGCGUGCGGGAUGACGGCCUUCGGGUUGUAAACCGCUUUCGCAUGUGACGAAGCGUGAGUGACGGUAAUGGGUAAAGAAGCACCGGCUAACUACGUG
rnacentral:rRNA from 1 species